rnacentral:rRNA from 1 species
AGCGGAUGAGUGGAGCUUGCUCCACGAUUCAGCGGCGGACGGGUGAGUAAUGCCUAGGAAUCUGCCUGGUAGUGGGGGACAACGUUUCGAAAGGAACGCUAAUACCGCAUACGUCCUACGGGAGAAAGCAGGGGACCUUCGGGCCUUGCGCUAUCAGAUGAGCCUAGGUCGGAUUAGCUAGUUGGUGAGGUAAUGGCUCACCAAGGCGACGAUCCGUAACUGGUCUGAGAGGAUGAUCAGUCACACUGGAACUGAGACACGGUCCAGACUCCUACGGGAGGCAGCAGUGGGGAAUAUUGGACAAUGGGCGAAAGCCUGAUCCAGCCAUGCCGCGUGUGUGAAGAAGGUCUUCGGAUUGUAAAGCACUUUAAGUUGGGAGGAAGGGUUGUAGGUUAAUACCCUGCAAUUUUGACGUUACCGACAGAAUAAGCACCGGCUAACUUCGUGCCAGCAGCCGCGGUAAUACGAAGGGUGCAAGCGUUAAUCGGAAUUACUGGGCGUAAAGCGCGCGUAGGUGGUUUGUUAAGUUGGAUGUGAAAGCCCCGGGCUCAACCUGGGAACUGCAUCCAAAACUGGCAAGCUAGAGUAUGGCAGAGGGUGGUGGAAUUUCCUGUGUAGCGGUGAAAUGCGUAGAUAUAGGAAGGAACACCAGUGGCGAAGGCGACCACCUGGGCUAAUACUGACACUGAGGUGCGAAAGCGUGGGAGCAAACAGGAUUAGAUACCCUGGUAGUCCACGCCGUAACGAUGUCGACUAGCCGUUGGGAUCCUUGAGAUCUUAGUGGCGCAGCUAACGCAUUA